rnacentral:lncRNA from 1 species
CCCCUUGAGGUUAUGAGCGCCCAUAGGGAAGAUGUUGCCACUGUACGCAGUUGGGAGAAGAAGGACCUGGCACAUGAGGAAGCCAAGUAGUUGGAUCAGCCCUCUCCAUCAUGGCGUUUCCCACACCUCUGAUUGGACUGGAAACUCCCUGAAAGGAGGAAGCAAGUCAGAUUCACCUCUAGGUCCCUCCCAGGCCUGGAGAGGCUGGCAUGCUGUUGGCACUCACUGACUGCCUGGUGGCCGACUGGCUGGAUGGAAUGGUGACCUGUGACCAGUCUGUCUCUCUCCUCAGCUGAUCUGAGAGUUCCUGGAGGCCAGGGACUGUGUUUGCCUCACCUCGGCACCUCUGUGCCUGGGGCAGAGGAACUGCUCAACAAGUUCUGGUUGAACAAAUGGAGGGAACACUAAGAGCGAAUAAUUAUUAAGCGCUUACUGUGUGCGAGCAGCUGCUGUAAGCAAUGGACACUUUAUCUCAGUGAACCCUGCAGAGGGUUCCAAUGAGGGAAUGGAGCAGACCUGAUCUAACCAAGCUAGGGGUGGGGAGGUGCCCGGUGGUAGGUGCCAGCAGACAUGACAGGCACUCCCGCACAUGGCACCACAGCAAUGCUGUCAAGGUUGCCCGUGGAAUCUGAAAGCUGAAACACUCAUCUUUAUAUACAGAGUUGGCCAAAGCAAGACACCAGCAAAUCAGUUUACCCAAAAAUGUGCAAACAAGAUUU